rnacentral:rRNA from 1 species
UACGAAGGGGGCUAGCGUUGUUCGGAAUCACUGGGCGUAAAGCGCACGUAGGUGGACCGUUAAGUCAGGGGUGAAAGCCCGAGGCUCAACCUCGGAAUUGCCUCUGAUACUGGCUGUCUCGAGUCCGAGAGAGGUGGGUGGAAUUCCUAGUGUAGAGGUGAAAUUCGUAGAUAUUAGGAGGAACACCGGUGGCGAAGGCGGCCCACUGGCUCGGUACUGACACUGAUGUGCGAAAGCGUGGGGAGCAAACAGG